UUUGCUAAUGAUACCUUCAAAAUAAAAUGGAAGCUUUUCAAACAUUGGACAUCGAGAAUAUCGUUAGGGCGACUACUUUUUGACCUUCCUGGUAUGUCUUUAAUAU